UCAGUGGAGCUUGACCUCCAAGGAGACCCUGAGGUUAUCUGCUGGUCCUGGACCUCCAAGAAGCUUAGGCAAGAUGGGGACCACAUCUCCUCCAAGGCACAGGAUCUCCUUCCAUCUCAGAGGGAUGAGGGGCCGUGGCCCUGACUCCUCUCUCAGCACCACUUCUGUAGAGGCUCCUGGGGCAGUAGCUGGGUAGGAGGAACAGAGAUUGAGGACUGCUCCUGAGGGCUUCCGUCUUCCUACCUGUCUAGAAGAUGUCGAAGGAGUUGGAUAUCAGCCAGCCCAAUGAUGACUUGAUCCAGGGUCAGUUCCUGCCUCUGCCACUUUCUACCUGUGAGCUCCCCAGCAAGUCACUUAAACUCUCAACAACUCACCUUCCCCAUGUAUACAAUGGGGUUAUGAGGCACACCUCUACCAUAGAGCCUGUGAGGACCUAAGAAGCUGCCUGGCACAUGGACCUUGGCCAGAGGAGGCAAGAUCAGAGAGCAUCACGGCAGAAAUAGCGAGAUGAACCUAGGCCUAGCCAAUCAGCUUCCUCCAGCUUCAAGACCACAGUGACUUUCUGGGAUGGAAUGUGACCUACUCGGCACUGAGGCUUCUGCUGGCAGUAUGAGAAUGAGGUAUCCUGAGGGGGCAGGACUGGGAAGUCCUGGAGGAGCAUGAAGUUCAUACUCAGAGAAGUACAAGAUGGAGAGGCUAUGUUCUGAUAAUAAUGUUUAAGCAUUUACAUCUAGCCAUGCUCAAAGACCUAGACUUUCAGUUACUUGUGCCAAUAAAUUCCAUUUUGUUAAUGCA